rnacentral:rRNA from 1 species
CCUACGGGGGGCAGCAGUGAGGAAUAUUGGUCAAUGGACGAGAGUCUGAACCAGCCAAGUAGCGUGAAGGAUGACUGCCCUAUGGGUUGUAAACUUCUUUUAUAUGGGAAUAAAAUGUUCCACGUGUGGGAUUUUGUAUGUACCAUAUGAAUAAGGAUCGGCUAACUCCGUGCCAGCAGCCGCGGUAAUACGGAGGAUCCGAGCGUUAUCCGGAUUUAUUGGGUUUAAAGGGAGCGUAGGUGGAGUGUUAAGUCAGUUGUGAAAGUUUGCGGCUCAACCGUAAAAUUGCAGUUGAAACUGGCAGUCUUGAGUACAGUAGAGGUGGGCGGAAUUCGUGGUGUAGCGGUGAAAUGCUUAGAUAUCACGAAGAACUCCGAUUGCGAAGGCAGUUCACUGGACUGCAACUGACACUGAGGCUCGAAAGUGUGGGUAUCAAACAGGAUUAGAUACCCUUGUAGUC